AGCAGUAGCCGCGUAAUACGUAGGUCCCGAGCGUUGUCCGGAUUUAUUGGGCGUAAAGGGAGCGCAGGCGGUUUAGUAAGUCUGAAGUUAAAGGCUGUGGCUUAACCAUAGUACGCUUUGGAAACUGUUUAACUUGAGUGCAAGAGGGGAGAGUGGAAUUCCAUGUGUAGCGGUGAAAUGCGUAGAUAUAUGGAGGAACACCGGUGGCGAAAGCGGCUCUCUGGCUUGUAACUGACGCUGAGGCUCGAAAGCGUGGGGAGCAAACAGGAUUAGAGACCCCAGUAGUCCCUGUCUCUUAUACAC
rnacentral:rRNA from 1 species